UUUUGAGCUACAGUGCUUAAUGCACAAAUUAGGAGUCUACAAGACCGACUGAACAGAAUCGAUAAAUCAUUGAGAAGUAGCUCAACAUCUGAAACUCUUUUCAACUCCAGUGUGGUCUUCCUUCUCUGAUUGCAGUUCCUCAAGGGUGUAAAACAUCCAACUGUCUUGUUAGGUAUGAAGGAGAUCUCUCGGUUGAUGCAGUAACAGAUUGGUUUGCAAUAACGAUACUGAGGUUACCUCGCAUUCCUUAUUACACAAAGGACACA